GCGGUCGCCUCCUAAAGAGUAACGGAGGCGCCCAAAGGUUCCCUCAGAAUGGUUGGAAAUCAUUCGCAGAGUGUAAAGGCACAAGGGAGCUUGACUGCGAGACGUACAGGUCGAGCAGGGUCGAAAGACGGGCUUAGUGAUCCGGUGGUUCCGCAUGGAAGGGCCAUCGCUCAACGGAUAAAAGCUACCCCGGGGAUAACAGGCUUAUCUCCCCCAAGAGUCCACAUCGACGGGGAGGUUUGGCACCUCGAUGUCGGCUCAUCGCAUCCUGGGGCUGUAGUCGGUCCCAAGGGUUGGGCUGUUCGCCCAUUAAAGCGGUACGCGAGCUGGGUUCAGAACGUCGUGAGACAGUUCGGUCCCUAUCCGUCGCGGGCGCAGGAAAUUUGAGAGGAGCUGUCCUUAGUACGAGAGGACCGGGAUGGACACACCGCUGGUGUACCAGUUGUUCCGCCAGGGGCAUCGCUGGGUAGCUAUGUGUGGCCGGGAUAAGUGCUGAAAGCAUCUAAGCACGAAGCCCCCCUCAAGAUGAGAUUUCCCAUUGCGCAAGCAAGUAAGAUCCCUCAAAGACGAUGAGGUAGAUAGGUUCGGGGUGGAAGCGUGGCGACACGUGCAGCUGACGAAUACUAAUCGAUCGAGGACUUAACCAA
rnacentral:rRNA from 2 species